CCUACGGGAGGCAGCAGUGAGGAAUAUUGGUCAAUGGGCGCAAGCCUGAACCAGCCAUGCCGCGUGCAGGAAGAAUGCCCUAUGGGUUGUAAACUGCUUUUAUUUAGGAAUAAACCCCUUUACGUGUAGAGGGCUGAAGGUACUAAAUGAAUAAGCACCGGCUAACUCCGUGCCAGCAGCCGCGGUAAUACGGAGGGUACAAGCGUUAUCCGGAAUCAUUGGGUUUAAAGGGUCCGCAGGCGGGCGUAUAAGUCAGUGGUGAAAGCCCGUUGCUUAACAACGGAACUGCCAUUGAUACUGUAUGUCUUGAAUUCGGUCGAAGUGGGCGGAAUGUGUAGUGUAGCGGUGAAAUGCUUAGAUAUUACACAGAACACCGAUAGCGAAGGCAGCUCACUAGGCCUGAAUUGACGCUCAUGGACGAAAGCGUGGGGAGCAAACAGGAUUAGAUACCCUGGUAGUCCACGCCGUAAACUAUCAAUACUCGUUUUCGGCGAUAUACGGUCGGAGACUAAGCGAAAGUGAUAAGUAUUGCACCUGGGGAGUACGAUCGCAAGGUUGAAACUCAAAGGAAUUGACGG
rnacentral:rRNA from 1 species